rnacentral:rRNA from 1 species
CCUACGGGAGGCAGCAGUGAGGAAUAUUGGUCAAUGGCCGGGAGGCUGAACCAGCCAAGUCGCGUGAGGGAAGACGGCCCUACGGGUUGUAAACCUCUUUUGUCAGGGAGCAAGGUGCAGGUCGGGACCUGCUGUGAGAGUACCUGAAGAAAAAGCAUCGGCUAACUCCGUGCCAGCAGCCGCGGUAAUACGGAGGGUGCGAGCGUUAUCCGGAUUUAUUGGGUUUAAAGGGUGCGCAGGCGGAGGCACAAGUCAGCGGUAAAAUCGCGGGGCUCAACCCCGCGCCGCCGUUGAAACUGUGUGCCUUGAGUGCGCGAAGGGUAGGCGGAAUGCGUGGUGUAGCGGUGAAAUGCAUAGAUAUCACGAAGAACCCCGAUCGCGAAGGCAGCCUACCGGCGCGCAACUGACGCUCAUGCACGAAAGCGUGGGUAUCGAACAGGAUUAGAUACCCGGGUAGUC